rnacentral:rRNA from 1 species
AAUGAACGUUGGCGGCGUGGAUUAGGCAUGCAAGUCGAGCGCUCAUAGCAAUAUGGGAGCGGCGAACGGCGUAGUAAUACGUAGGAACGUACCCUCGGGUCGAGGAUAGCUAUGGGAAACUGUAGGUAAUACUCGAUAACCUCUGCGGAGCAAAGGUGUGAUUCCGCCCGAGGAGCGGCUUACGCGAUAUUAGCUAGUUGGUAGGGUAAUGGCCUACCAAGGCGAUGAUGUCUAGGGGGUGUGAGAGCAUGGCCCCCACGACCGGAACUGAGAUACUGUCCGGACACCUACGGGUGGCUGCAGUCGAGAAUCUUCCGCAAUGGACGAAAGUCUGACGGAGCGACGCCGCGUGCGGGAUGAAGGCCCUUGGGUUGUAAACCGCUGUCAGAGGGGAUGAAAUCUUCGGAGGUACUCCUCCGAAGUUGACAGAGCCUCAAAGGAAGCACGGGCUAAGUACGUGCCAGCCGCCGCCGUAAA